AAACAUAAAAACAAAAAAAAAAUAAAAAAAAAAUAAAAAAAAAAUUAGAGAACAACUUUUCUCUCUUCCCUCCCUUCACAACACUUCCUCUCUUUCUCGUUCUCUCUCUCUCUUUCUCU
rnacentral:ribozyme from 13 species